rnacentral:tRNA from 1 species
GCUAUCGUAGCUCAGCGGUAGAGCACCCGUUUCAUAAGCGGGACGUCACAGGUUCGAAUCCUGUCGAUAGCA